UUGAAACACCAGUUCCUGUAUGAUCACUGAAGUUAAGCACCAUUGAGCUUAGUCAGUAUUUAGAUGGGUGUCUGCUUUGGAAUUCCAGGUGCUGUG